rnacentral:rRNA from 1 species
UACGUAGGCAGCGAGCGUUGUUCGGAGUUACUGGGCGUAAAGGGUGUGUAGGCGGUUCUUUUAAGUUUGGUGUGAAAUCUCCCGGCUUAACCGGGAGGGUGCGCCGAAUACUGAGGGACUUGGAGUGCGGGAGAGGAAAGUGGAAUUCCUGGUGUAGCGGUGAAAUGCGUAGAUAUCAGGAGGAACACCGGUGGUGUAGACGGCUUUCUGGACCGUAACUGACGCUGGAGACACGAAAGCGUGGGUAGCAAACAGG